GAUGAACGCUAGCGGCAGGCCUAAUACAUGCAAGUCGAACGGUGUAGCAAUACACAGUGGCGCACGGGUGCGUAACACGUAUGCAACCUACCUUACAUUGGGGGAUAGCCUUUCGAAAGGGAGAUUAAUACCGCAUAAGACAGUAACUAGGCAUCUAGUAGCUGUUAAAGAUUUAUCGAUGUAAGCUGGGCAUGCGUCCAAUUAGUUAGUUGGCGAGGUAAUGGCUCACCAAGACGAUGAUUGGUAGGGGAUCUGAGAGGUCAAUCCCCCACACUGGCACUGAGAUACGGGCCAGACUCCUACGGGAGGCAGCAGUAGGGAAUAUUGGGCAAUGGGCGCAAGCCUGACCCGGCCAUGCCGCGUGCAGGAAGAAGGCGUUAUGCGUUGUAAACUGCUUUUAUACAGGAAGAAACGACCCUUGCGAGGGGCAUUGACGGUACUGUAUGAAUAAGCACCGGCUAACUCCGUGCCAGCAGCCGCAGUAACAC
rnacentral:rRNA from 1 species